GAGUUUGAUCAUGGCUCAGGAUGAACGCUAGCGGCAGGCUUAACACAUGCAAGUCGAGGGGUAUAGUUCUUCGGAAUUAGAGACCGGCGCACGGGUGCGUAACGCGUAUGCAAUCUACCUUUCACAGAGGGAUAGCCCAGAGAAAUUUGGAUUAAUACCUCAUAGUAUAACGACUCCGCAUGGAGAUGUUAUUAAAGUCACAACGGUGAAAGAUGAGCAUGCGUCCCAUUAGCUAGUUGGUAAGGUAACGGCUUACCAAGGCUACGAUGGGUAGGGGUCCUGAGAGGGAGAUCCCCCACACUGGUACUGAGACACGGACCAGACUCCUACGGGAGGUAGCAGUGAGGAAUAUUGGACAAU
rnacentral:rRNA from 1 species